AAAAUUUAAUAAGUUAAACUUGUAAUUUUGACCAAGUCAAUAAUCUUCUAUAAGCUUAAUUAUUCAAGUUUAUAUUUAAAAACUUUAAAUGUUAACUUGAACACUUUUAUUGAUAAAUUUAGUUUCAAGUCAUGCUAGAGAUUUUGUAAUCUAAUUACAAACUAGAUUUAUUAAUUCAAUUAAUUAAUUAAACCAUUUAAUUAACUAAUUAAACUAAUUUUGCUUUGAUCAAGUUGCUCUUAUGUGUGUGACUUAGUAGGUUCAUUACUAGUUGGCAAUGAGAAUAAUAUUAACUCCUCAA
rnacentral:misc_RNA from 1 species